GAUCCUGGCUCAGGAUGAACGCUGGCGGCGUGCCUAACACAUGCAAGUCGAGCGAAGCACUUUGCUUAGAUUCUUUCGGAUGAAGAGGAUUGUGACUGAGCGGCGGACGGGUGAGUAACGCGUGGGUAACCUGCCUCAUACAGGGGGAUAACAGUUAGAAAUGACUGCUAAUACCGCAGUAAGACCACAGCACCGCAUGGUGCGGGGGUAAAAACUCCGGUGGUAUGAGAUGGACCCGG
rnacentral:rRNA from 1 species